rnacentral:rRNA from 1 species
AUUGAACGCUGGCGGCAGGCUUAACACAUGCAAGUCGAGCGCGCGGCGCACGGGUGAGCAAUUUCUGGCAAACUUCCAGAUGGACGGGGUUAACUCCUGGAAACGGAAGCUAAUACCGCAUACCAUCAAAUGAUCCCAGAUGGGAUUAGCUAGUGGGUGGGUGAAUGGCUCACCUAGGCCACGAUCCCUAGCUGGUCUGAGAGGAUUACCAGCCACUCUGUAACGGAGACACGGUCCAGACUCCUACGGGAGGAAGCAGUGGGGAAUGUGGCACAAUGGGCGAAAGGCUGAUGCAGCUAUGCCGCGUGUGUGAAGAAGGCCUUCGGGUGGUAAAGCGCGUGAAGCAAGGAAGCGUUAAUCGCACAAGAAGCACCGGCUAACUACGUGCAAGCAGCCGCGGUAAUAC